AUUGAACGCUGGCGGCAGGCCUAACACAUGCAAUUCGAACGGCAGCACAGAAGAGCUUGCUCUUUGGGUGGCGAGUGGCGGACGGGUGAGUAAUGUCUGGGAAACUGCCCGAUGGAGGGGGAUAACUACUGGAAACGGUAGCUAAUACCGCAUAACGUCGCAAGACCAAAGUGGGGGACCUUCGGGCCUCACACCAUCGGAUGUGCCCAGAUGGGAUUAGCUAGUAGGUGGGGUAAUGGCUCACCUAGGCGACGAUCCCUAGAUGGUCUGAGAGGAUGACCAGCCACACUGGAACUGAGACACGGUCCAGACUCCUACGGGAGGCAGCAGUGGGGAAUAUUGCACAAUGGGCGAAAGCCUGAUGCAGCCAUGCCGCGUGUAUGAAGAAGGCCUUCGGGUUGUAAAGUACUUUCAGCGGGGAGGAAGGCGGUGAGGUUAAUAACCUCGCCGAUUGACGUUACCCGCAGAAGAAGCACCGGCUAACUCCGUGCCAGCCGCCGCGGUAA
rnacentral:rRNA from 1 species